UACGUGAGGGGCUAGCGUUGUCCGGAUUUAUUGGGCGUAAAGAGCGUGUAGGCGGCCAGGUAGGUCUGGUGUGAAAACUCGAGGCUUAACCUCGAGAUGUCAUCGGAAACCAUCUGGCUAGAGUCCGGAAGAGGAGAGUGGAAUUCCUGGUGUAGCGGUGAAAUGCGCAGAUAUCAGGAAGAACACCAAUGGCGAAAGCAGCUCUCUGGGACGGUACUGACGCUGAGACGCGAAAGCGUGGGGAGCGAACAGG
rnacentral:rRNA from 1 species